AACGAACGCUGGCGGCAUGCCUAACACAUGCAAGUCGAACGGCAACACCGUAAGAGCUUGCUCUUACGGGUGGCGAGUGGCGGACGGGUGAGGAAUGCAUCGGACUCUACUUUUUCGUGGGGGUUAACGUAGGGAAACUUACUCUAAUACAGCAUACGCCCUACCGGUGAGAGCAGGGGAUCUUCGGACCUUGCGCGAUGGAAUGAGCCGAUGUCGGCUUAGCUAGUUGGCGGGGUAAAGGCCCACCAAGGCGGCGAUGGGUAGCUGGUCUGAGAGGAUGAUAGGCGACCUGGGAGGGGAGACGGGGUCAAGACUCCUACGGGAGGCCGCAGUCGGGAAUGGUAGACAAUGGGGGCGAGUCUGAUACAGCGAUAGGGCGUGGGUGAAGACGGCGUUGGGGGUGGAAAGCCGUUUUGUUGGGAGAGAAAAGCAGCAGGUUGAGACGAAGCGGUAGUGACGGUACCGAAAGAAUAAGCACCGGCUAACUUCGUG
rnacentral:rRNA from 1 species